rnacentral:lncRNA from 1 species
AAAGCACCCCAUGGAUUCAAUUUCUCAUCAAUUCAGAAUGGAAUACUAACGUGCUGCCUAGAGAUACAGAAGUGGGAUGAACGCAGGGCCUUACUCAGCAUUCAGAACAAAACUGAUGGUGCUAGCAUAUAUAAGACUGAAACACCAAAGUCCUCCGUGGAAGUUAAUGAAUUUCUGGUUAUGAGUUGGAUUCUUCAGCGGAGUAUUUGAGCCAUGCCUUGAGGCACAUACUUCAAGUUGCUGCAUCCAGUUUUAAACUCCAGAUUGAGCUUUACAUAUUAAAUGUGCACAUUUGUUUUCA